rnacentral:lncRNA from 10 species
AUCCGUCACCUGACACGGCCCUACCAGGAACAGCCGCGCUCCCGCGGAUUCUGGUGCUGCUCGCGUCCCCGCUCCCCUAUUCCCCUUAUUUUAUUCCUGGCUCCCCUCGUCGAAAGUCUUCCAUUCUUCAAACUAGAUUAUUUAAAAAUGAAAAAGGAAGAAAGGAAAGCGAGGUCAUCUCAUUGCUCUAUCCGCCAAUCAGGAGGCUGAAUGUCAGUUUUGAACUAAAAGCCGCUCCGCUCCUCUUCUAGAUUUGGAAAACAAGCGAAAUUAAACUAAACCGCUGCACGCCUCUGACGCGACAUCUGGACACGGCGCGGCGCUGGCGCUGCCGGAGCUGUCGACCCGGCCUGGCGCCGGACUAGGACUAUUUGCCACGACAUUUCAAAGGAUUCCAAGAGAGAAUAUUGGUGUCCAUGCUGUGAUGAUUCCUCAGCUCCUCUCAUCUGAUCUCCGUCCUGGCCCCCAUGACUUUCUUUGUGGUAGUUAGGGUGUGGUAUGUGCCACUGAGGCCCACACCUAUUGCUGCAAUUUAUAGCACUGAUCUGUCAUCAAUACCACUUGCUGUCUUGGAUGUGAAGAUGAUUUUUCCUGCAGGGAUUCCCUCUACAAAAUUAAAAACACUGGGCAUGUGGAAAUAAUAUUCAUGCUUUAAAUUGUCUUUUCUCUUCACUACACCAGGGGUCCCCAACCCCUAGGCCACAGACUGUGGCCCUAGUGUAGUGAAUAGAAAAGACAAUUUAAAGCGUGAAUAUUAUUUCCUCAUGCCCAGUGUUUUUAAUUUUGUACUGGUCUGUGGCUUGUUAGAAACCAGGCUGCACAGCAGAAGGUGGGCAGCAGAUAUUGAGAAACCACAGAAAGAGAGAAGUUAAAUAAUUUUCCUGUCAAAGACCACAUCAAUGAUGAAGCCAGAAUUUGAGCUCAUGUACUUAACCACUGGACUACCUGCCUGCCCUGUCGAGGAACAGCUAAGUGUCCCUUUUGAUGAGAAGAAUAAGCCUCAUUCUGAUUCAACAGCAGAGAUCAAAGAAAAGACUUCUGUUUUCUGGCCACCAGAUAUAUGUUAUCUGUGCUUAAAGAAUUGAAAAACACACAUCAAAGGAGAAUUUUCUUGGAAAGAGAGGGUUCAAGCAUCACUGUUAGGUGUGCUGGAAUCCUUUCCCGAGUCAGUACUGCUUUCUAGAAGAAAACCGGGGAGAUCUAUUUGGAAUGUAUCUAACUCCAAAGAAACCAUCAGAGGUAACAGUAGAGACGGGGUUUCACCAUGUUGGCCAGACUGGUCUUGAACUCUCGACCUCGUGAUUCGCCCGCCUCGGCCUCCCAAAGUGCUGGGAUUACAGGUGUGAGACACCACACCCGGCGGAUAGAGAGAAUUUUGACAGGUGAUGGAGGCUUUUUAUUUUGCCACAAAACCACUGGUGACGUUGCCUGUGGCCACCUUGGAGAAGACACUGGAGGUACACAGGAUCCUAACGACAAACCUAAAAGGUGGGCAUAACAAUAAUGUUAAUAAAACAUCUGCAUUUCUCCCAUCCUUGGAGUUGUGAGGAUUUAAUGCAAUUGUUUGUGGGAAAGCACUUUAACAACUCUAAAUUACGAUAUAUAUGCUAGGUUUUAUUGUUACCCACACCUUUGAUGUAUUUCUCUUUGUACUCUUCACUGUAUCUGUAACACAUUCCCUAGGAUAAUUAGGGCUACCCUUUAACAAAGCCAAGAUUCUAUUUAUAGUGGUAAGCUGGCACCUGGGCUGAUUCUCUCUAGUGAUUAUGUAGUUUUGAUGUGGACUGGCAUUCUUCCCUGGAGUUUGAGUACCUCCGUCAGCACUUCUCCCGUCCAGAAGUUCCAUCUCUGUGUUUUUCUAUUACAAAGCCCAGACACCCAUCUAGGCCACCCACCAGGUUCCUCUUUCCAGUCUUAAGGACAUCUUUAGCUCCUGGCUCAUUUGUGAGAUGGAGUGGACUGACAUGCCCUAAGCAAAGAUUGCCAGCCUGGUCUAGUUUUCCAGGUCUCCCUUGACUCGACAAUAAAGUAACCACUAGACUUUGAGAAUUGCAGUUUUACAUUGUCUAGAGUCUUCUAGACUUUCAUGAAGAUAGGCAAAUAUGAUUCUAACCAAGAUGUAUUAAUACCUCCUACUUCCUUUGAAAUGUAACUGAGACUGUACUUGAGACGUUACAAUUUCUUGGAAGGGGAAAGGAAGCUUCUGCUAUUGAACGAACUUUUUGUUAAGGUAGCUCCCAAGCAGGUUCAGUAGCUUUGUUCUAUUAUCACUUUUCUACUGACAGUGAUUUUUUUCCUUUGAAG